GUGGGGAAUAUUGGACAAUGGGCGAAAGCCUGAUCCAGCCAUGCCGCGUGUGUGAAGAAGGUCUUCGGAUUGUAAAGCACUUUAAGUUGGGAGGAAGGGCAGUAAGUUAAUACCUUGCUGUUUUGACGUUACCGACAGAAUAAGCACCGGCUAACUCUGUGCCAGCAGCCGCGGUAAUACGAAGGGUGCAAGCGUUAAUCGGAAUUACUGGGCGUAAAGCGCGCGUAGGUGGUUUUGUAAGUUGGAGGUGAAAUCCCCGGGCUCAACCUGGGAACUGCCUCCAAAACUGCAUGACUAGAGUACGGUAGAGGGUAGUGGAAUUUCCUGUGUAGCGGUGAAAUGCGUAGAUAUAGGAAGGAACACCAGUGGCGAAGGCGACUACCUGGACUGAUACUGACACUGAGGUGCGAAAGCGUGGGGAGCAAACAGGAUUAGAAACCCGUGUAGUCC
rnacentral:rRNA from 1 species